CGUGCGCUUGCGGAUCAAUUCCUUAUUGCGUUCCCAAAUAUCAACAAGCAUUUCUGGCGCCGUUGCCGGGGAGAAAGACGGUUGCUGAGAUAACCUGUGUCUUGCUAUUAGCUUGUAUCUAUACUUUUAUCUUUUCUUAUCUUUUAUAUUCUUUAUUUAUUUUUCUUUAUUCUUACCUUAUGGAAAACCAAAAUUCUAAAUCGAUCCAUGAGUCUGCAAUCCCUUUAGCAACUGACCUUUUACCAUGGGAAUCAUCACAGCCUAUCCAAACACCCC
rnacentral:lncRNA from 1 species